rnacentral:rRNA from 1 species
AUGGAUAUUUUUAAAUUUCAGGCAUCACUCUGUGAGGAGUUGUCUCAAAUCAUUAGGAAAUUCUGGUGGGUUGAUGAGGAGAAUAGGAGGAAGACUCAUUGGCUGGCUUGGGAUAAGAUGACUAAGCCUAAAGGUGAGGCUGGGAUGGGAUUCCAGGACCUCACAUUAUUUAACCAGGCUCUCUUAGCUAAGAAGGCUUGGAGGUUGGUGGUUGAUCUCGAAUCUCUGUGCGCUAUAGUGAUUAAGGCGAAAUAUUAUCCCCAGGGGCAUAUCCUUGAUACGGUUUUCCCGCGGUCAGCUUCUCUUACUUGGCAUGGUAUUCCACAUGGAUUGGAUCUGCUUAAAUCCGAAGUCAUUUGGAGAGUGUGUGAUGGGACUAAUAUUAAUAUCUGGAAAGAUAACUAA